rnacentral:lncRNA from 1 species
UCAAUUACCCGGGGAGUACAGUAUUCAUCAGAUGCAGCAAAGCCAAGGUAGUUGUAUGAUCCCAAAUUUAGGCAUCUAUUUACUUUGUUGGUUCGUCUGCAUCAUAAUCACUCAGUCAUCUAGACAUUCACCAUUUUGAGUGACUAUGCAGAAGAAAAAUGAAAAAAGAAACUAAACACCUCUAUAUCAUAAGCAUCAAACACAAAUAAGGAAGCUUACUUCAGUGUCUUGUUACUGUCAUUGGAAAAACGUUCAACCACAUCAAACCACGCAUCAGGGGCACUUGAUAUAGGUCGCCCAAAACAGUCCUGGACAGAUAUGAGAUUGAUAAUUAAUCACAAAUAGUUGUUGCUCGCUUAAACAACCUACGGGAGGGAUGAAGGAAUACAUAUAACAUCGUACACCUAUUCAGUAGUAACUGGCAGGAUUCAAAGAACUAUCAUUCAUCAAACUUAGAGUAAGUCGAAACCCAUCAGAAUACAAUAACAUAACUCCUUCCACCAACGCAAUCUAUUCACUAAAACUUUUCACUUAAAACUAACUAUAUAAACAUCUCAUCUCAAUAAUCACUCAGAGCCAUUACUAAUUUGAAAUUCCAACCACUCCAUUAAACUCCUCGAUUCAUAGUCAUAAAACACAACUUGUUGAGCCUUGUUUUAUGUUAUUCUUAUUUCUAUUUUAUAAGGUGACUGUCCAUCUUUUCCUCAUCACUACUAAAUCAUACUAAACCACAACAUAUAUUACGAAAUUCUGCAUUUUUUUCAGCAGCAACCAAGUCUGAUUUUAAUCACUCUGAAACUAAAACAAAGCACUAGUCAUUUCCUAUUAAAAUAAAGCGAGUAAUUUCACAAUUUUCAAUCAAAUCACAGCACGAACAGAUACCUGAAUUCGGAGAUACAAGCGACGAAUAUAAAAAUCUUCAAGUCCUAAGCAGAUUGGGGCGUAUCCCUGUCUCACAACAAUCAAAUGUCAACAGCCAAUCAACAACAGACACAAACGCGCGCAAUCAAGCAAUCACCAGACCACAACUACCAGAAAAUAAAAAAUAAAAAAAUACCUGAAGAUUAUUGGCGCUCCACCAGUCAAUAAUUUUGCGAAAGAAAUCUCUGAUUUGGCCAAAAACAAACAACAAUCCAUAGCUGAAAUAAGUCGUUAAAGCGGUUAAGUACGGAAUUGAAAUCAUCUCUACUUAAUUAAUAUAAUAAUAAUUUGUGAGUUGGAAAUGUGAAGAACAGAUCUGCGGAGGCGCAGAGAAAGGAAUAUUGAGAGAUCGGAAUGAGGAAACAAAGCUGAAAGGGCGGAUCCGAAAAUGGACCCGAAUGAAAUCGGGCGGGGAUUGAGAGAGCCAGAGAGGAUGUGGAGGCGGGAGAAAGAUUCUAAUUCUGGUAAUCAAUUCAGCGGUGCGGGCCUCCGCGGUUUUAGACUCCAAUGGUCUGGCUGGACCUGGCAGAAAAAUCAUGGUCAAGUCAACUUUUAUGUCUUUUAAAAAUUGGAAAACUUUGUUUUGUUUGAAAAAUAUAAAAUAUAAUAAAAUGGAAACCUUCCUGAACUAUCUUGAUAAAAAAGUCUUAAUUUGAUUUUUGAGAUUUUAAUGGGUAUGUUGAUUAUGUAAUUAUGUUAAUUAAAUUUAAAUUUGAUAAUAACUUUUUCUUUUUGUUGAAUUAAAAAGAGAAUUUGUUGGCUUCGAGUCUUGGUAAAUAAUAAUUAUAUUUUACAUAAUAUUAUGAUUCAUCCCAAAUACUAUUUUAUAUUCCAUCCAAUCUGGUAUUUUCAUGAUCAAUUUUUUUUUAAGUAAAAACUCAAGGCACGCAACAUAAUUACAUAAGAGGUUAUGAUCGUGAAUUUGUACAUUGGUAAAAUGAUAUAAUUAUUAUUUAGAUGAAAUAUGCAUCACCCAUUUAUUAAUAAGCGUAGAAAUUUUUACACACUGAAACCCACAUCAUAUAUAGUUAACAAUUUGAUUAAUCAUUUCAUAGUGACUUUUUUUUUUAACCCCAAUUAUACUACAUUUAAUUUUACUAUUUAAAAAGUGAUUGAGUUUUAUUUAUUUAUUUACUUAUUUAUUUAUUAGGACCAAUUGGAGUUUGAAAGUUAGUGCUCCAGAAAUUUUACAAAAUAUUUAAUCACAUGGGAAACAAGUGAAAUUUUGAUAAAAAAGAUUAAAUUCAUAUUAAGUGGAUAACAUGAUUAAUAAAUAAUUAAAUCGAAUUAGUGUUAAAAAAACCUAACACAGUCAAACGUAGUGUUUAGAAAGUUAGGAUCUAAACUUUCCAAAAUCUUUCCCGUAAAUUCCCGGUGCUGACGAUACCACUUAGCAGCAGCGGUUGGUAGGUUUUGCCGGGUUUGAUAUUAAACAAAAACUAUGAGCAAAACCAAAAAAAUAUUAACUUAAACAUUUCUACUUUUAAUUAGCUAACGAAAAUUUCAAAUCCCGAAGGAGAUAAUUAAAAAAUUAUUGAUAAAAGGAAUGAAAAAUGUAGGAAUAAUAGUAUCAUUUAAAUUAAUAGGCUACUUGAUCCUAAUUUUGUUCAAGUACGACAAAUGAACUCAAAUCGUAUUCAAACCAUGAUAACAAAAACAGCUCAAAACCAAUACAACAAAGAAAAAAAUACUAAAUUCACUAAAAAGCUACAAUUUCUAAUCUAUUUUACCAUCACCUGCCCUAACCAUGAUAACAAAAACAGCUCAAAACCAAUACAACAAAGGAAAAAAUACUAAAUUCACUAAAAAGCUACAAUUUCUAAUCUAUUUUACCAUGACCUGUCCUACAUGAUAUUCCAAAAACGAACAUAGCUCAUACUUUUCAGUUCAAAACCCUGACUAGUAACUGGUUCAUCUCUCAAAAACUUGAAAAUUUCACAUAAUCAAAACCUCAAAGAAGAGAUGGUGCAAACAAAGAACCCCUAUUGAAAAAGAAGCGUAAACCUGAUGUAAGCACUCAAAAGCUUCAACCUUUGAACAGUAUUCUCAAUUUUGAGAAGACAAAACCCAGGACCCCGAUGAAAACUGAAUUAAUUUAGAAGGUCAAAUAAAUUAGGAGGAUGACGAUGAUAAGGACAUGGAUGGUAAUAGGGAGGGAGAGUGACAGAAAGACCCACUAGGCACUAGCAGCAUCAAUUUCCAGUGUAUAUGUAAGGGACAAAGGCACCACUUGCAGCUACACCAAUGGAAUCUUUGAAAGAGAGACAGCAUAAAUAAUUUAACAAAAAGUUUAAAAGGAAAAGAAAAGACACUGGCCCCCAUCAAGGACACGAGCGUCACUUGAUUUUGUCUAUGUAUGGGUGGAGAGGCUGAUCCUUCCAAAGCAAUUUACAUGAUAGGGAUGAUGAUAUCAGAACUUAAAGACUAUAAGAAUCCAACCAUUACCUAAGCAAAAUAAUCACCGAGUCUUUCUUGGUCAAUGCUUUAUAGAUCUUGCCUUGUGAUGCUGCUGCUUGAAACUGAUAUAAUGUGGAAAAAAUUAUUUCUGUAUUACUCUAACUUCAACAUCCCCACUUGCUGUUGUUUCUUUGGUUCAGCUGGGAAGUAUUUAAUACCCACAAGAUCACCAAUCCUACUGAUUACCUGAGACAAGAAAGCAAUCCAAACCAGGAUUUACAAUGUAGACACACUAAGAAAGAAUUGUUUUUAUUAAAUCAACUAAACUAAGAUGCACUCUGUGCCUAUUUAAAAUUGACAAGAACUAAAAUGUCAAAAUUUGCUUCUCGCAUGCUUAAAAGUCCUAAACAAAUGUCAUAAUCAUAGUAUACAACCACGAAUCCAUGUGUCUGCAUCUAAUACUCUCCUAGGAUAAUCCAUGUGAAGAAAACUAAUGUGAAUGUGUAUUCUUGCAAUCGCUCUCUCUCUCUCACACACUCAUGCAAUGGUCUUCUAUGGAGCAGAACUUACCUCCAAGGCUUCAAUCAGAUCUUCCUUCGUAUGUGAAGCGGAUAUGCAUAUACGAGCCCUUGCCAAUAGUAGUGGGGUAGCCGGGAAACCAACAGUCACAAUAGCCACCUAUAACAAAUAUCAGUUUCUAGUUACAUACACCUAAUUAAAAUUUGUCACAAAAACUUUAAUCAUGAGAUAGGGGGUUAAGCCAGGCGCACACACAUUCUGCUUGAGACACUCUCGUGAAAAGGACGAGACUUUGGCAGGGUUGUAAACCAUAAUUGGCAUCACUGGAGAAUCAUUAUCUCCGAGAACUUCGAACCCCAUUUUCUGCAGUUUUGACCUAAAAAAGUUGCUAUUCUCGCGAAUACGUGCAAGUUUCUGGGCACCUAUAUGAAUACAAAAGAAUUUAAGGUUCAGAUCAAUAUAGCAAGACCCAUGGAACUUCAUGAAGCUCGCACACUAUUAGCUCAAAAGAAAGAAUAAUGACAAAAGUAUCAGUUUGUACCUCUACAUGAACCAUCCUCCCCUAUAACAACUUGUAUGGCAGAUAUGAUUUGUUCUGCUGCAGGCGGUGAAAUUGAAGUUGCAUAUAGAUGAGCAGGACAAUUGUACUUCAAGUAUUGGAUCAGUUCCUUCAAAUUAAAAAGGACAAAAUAAAAAUGAUCCUAUAAGAAUGCAAUUGAGAGCUUAUAAUAUAUUUUUCUCCCCCAAACCCUCCCCAACUUUUUUCUCCCCUGCACAAUGGCCAAUACAAACACUUGAAGGAGAAUCCAUUCCAGUGGGGAAAUGUUUAUAAAUGGUUAGUAUAUAUACUUUCAAUGGUAGAAGAUAGAAGACAGUAACAGAAUAUGGAUGAAUAACCCAUAUGAUUAUUAUGAUUCAUAUGUUAAACACUACAUUAUAGCUUAGAUUGCUGAAAAGUGUACCUUAGAUCCUGCAAUGUAGCCACCAUAUGAUCCAAAUGAUUUACUAAAAGUUCCCAUCAUGAUAUCCACAUCAGAGGUAUCAACUCCUAAGAGCUCGCAAACCCCUCUUCCUGUUUUGCCCACAGCUCCUAUGCUGUGGGCCUCAUCUAAGUAUGUAUAUGCCUGUCCCACGAUAUUGAAACCAUAAAAAUAGUAUAAAAUAAUGCAUAGCUAUUGAAAAAAAGAGAGCCUAUAAAAAGAUAAUGACAAACAGACUUUAAAUGAGAGUAAAAGAACAACUCUUGAACAACUUUAAAUGCAAAAGGAAUGCAAGCACGAGACUUGAGAUUACAAGCAAACAUAUGAUCAUGCGCAUAAAAGGUAGGAAUAUUUAUGAAGUGCAUGGAAAGAGAUAUGGGAAAAGGAUUGAGUAGUCAUAGGUUUGCUAUAACUUCAACAUACAAUGAGCGCUGUAACCUUUUUUACUUUUGUAAAUUGGGGAAAAGGAAUUAAGCAUAGAGUUCACAUCAAAAUAUGCAGAAGACAAAUAGUCCUAUAAAAGAAUAUCUAGGAUGCUAAAUAAAGUUUGAAAAUACAUAUUAUAUUAGCAUAUCAAGAAUCAUCUUUUUAAAACAUUGCAGAAAGUAAAUAAUUUCCCAUUCACGAAAAAGAAUUUGAUGACUUUAGUGAUAUGACAGUUCAAGGCGCAUAUUGAAAUGAUAGACAUCAUCUCACACAACCUUAUAUCUUUUGCAGAUUGCUAUUAUUUCAGGAAGUUUGCAAAGCUCCCCUUCCAUGCUGUAAAUCCCCUCCACAACAACCAUGAUCUUCUUCCAAGGUCUACGAGUUCUCGGUUGUCCCUCCGCGAUUUGUUCCCUCAAGACUUCCUCCAAGUGAGAAGGGGCUGUAAACAAAAUGGUAAAAGGAACCAUGAUCAGAAACUUCUCCAACUGAGAUCUUUGGAGUACUACUUGCAUUCGAAAAAAUAAUGCACCAUACUGAUUACUAAUGCACAAUAGUGAUGCAUUUUGUUUUUUUUCACAAAUUAGUAUCAUAUGCUACGAUGUCCUACCCAAGAAACAAGAACCAUACUUGACAACAGUCACACCUCAUCAUGAAGUCGGAAUCAUUUAAUUCAGCAACAAAACAGAAAGACUUACUAUUGUGUUGGAAAACACGAAUAGUUGCUCCAGAUCCUCGUGCACCGUUCACAAUAGAAUUAUGGUUCAAUGAAUCACUAAUAAUCAAACUUCCCUGUAAAUAAAAUUGACAAGCAGUCAAAAUUAAAUAGCAAGGUGAGAAAUUAUGUUUAAAAGUUGCUCUCAUAUGUUAUAUAACGGACCUUCCCCAUCAAGACUGGAAGGAUAGAUGAGUUGGUUACAUAGCCCAUGCCAAAAACUAUAGCAGCUGGCUUUCCAACAAACCUUGCAACACACUCCUCCAAUUCAUUGUGCAGCGCCAAUGUGCCUGAUGGCAAAACUGCAUUAGUAAAACUUUCUAUAACAAGUGUCAACACAAAAGCAUCCUACAAGGUAAUAAACUCACCACCAUCCACCCGACUACUACAGGUACUAUGAGAAUAUUUUUUCAAUGAGUCAAUUACUCGGGGUGUACAGUAUUCAUCUGCUGCAGCAAAACCAAGGUAGUUGUAUGAUCCCAAAUUCAGGCAUCUACUUACAUUGUUGGUUCGUCUGCAUUAGAUCACUCAUUCAUAUAGGUAUUCUUCAAUGGCGUGAAUACGAUGAACAAAAAUGAUAAAAGAAACUAAAUACCUAUCUAAAUCAUAAUCAUCAAGCACAAGAGAAAAUACUUACUUG